GCUGGAAACUCACCAAGAUCUGCUUACCU
rnacentral:piRNA from 1 species